AGUAGGGUAUGGUGCUCUGAUUGGCCAGGCUGAAGUAGGGUAUGGUGCUCUGAUGGGCCAUGCUGAAGCAGGGUAUGGUGCUGUGACUGACCCGACUGAGCUGCACACCCAACGAGAGACCCAGGAAACUGAGGCCAGCCCCACCUUAAUCAUGUGGGCUGAGAUUUCCUCACAGGAAAAUCAAGAUCCUGUUACCAAAAAGAAAGGGGAAUAUUCUCUGGGCAGCAAAAAAUCUAAAGAGCUUAAUACACACUUGGCAGAAAGGUGAAAGGAGGCUGGGCAUACUUCACAACCACUAUUCCUGCAUCUGGGGCCCACCGUUCUGUCGGAUGAUCCCUCCAAGGUACUCCCUGUCUUCCCAAAAGAGAGUCCCCAAACAAAAGCUGGGUUUCGGAAGAGAACUUGCAGCCCCCAGAGAAGGGACAGGUGUAUCCCCUCACCCCAUCUUUGCAGCUCACCACCUGCUCUGGCCAAGACUCCCAGCUGUGAAAGCUCCCGGCAGUGCAGGGAGGCUGCAGGCAUCCAGCGGCGGCCUGGAGGCCCAGCGCCCACACCUGCAGCCUCUGAGGGCCCCACCAAAUCCUGCCGGGACCCUCCCAGCAGCAGGCGCGCGGAUGCUCACAGGGAAUUCCAGCAGGGCGACUCCUCGGGGAGCUGAGCGCAGCGCAUCAGCACUUUUAGCUCUAUCAUUCCCUUACAGACUUUUAACCUCCUGGACGGAAGAAUUCAGUCCGGCUUGUUGCCUCUCUCCGCACACUUGAGAAUCCAGCCGGAGUCGCUACGUCACACUUCCUGCAGCAGCCCAAGGGUCAGGAGUUCACCCGCUGAACCGUUUGCCUGGGGAGCCGUGGUCCUAAUAAGCAUGACAUCCUCCCCCAAAGCUUCAGCAGCUGUGUUUCCCCCUGGCUCGGAAGGGAAGGAACCAAAUAAAGCAGCAGGAGGAAUUACGUGGUGCAGAACUGCUCAGCGUGGGAUUCCAGGUCCAAAGGCGCCUUCUUUGCAAGAUCGCCCAAACAUCUGCCUUUGUCCAUCAGCAGUCCAAAAGGAGAUGGCGGAUUCUUUACCGUCUGAACCACCAGGGAAGCCAAACAAAUAAUAGCCUUGUUGAAUCCUCUGCAAGGUAAGGCUGCCUGCGCCCAGCUGCUCCCACCUGUGGCAUCCUGCUGGCUGCUGAGAUGGGAGCUCCCAGGCCAUCAGGCACAGGUGGGCCCACCUCCUCCAGGCACACACCUGCCAUGGCAGCCUCCUUUCCUGCCCCAAACUGGACCCCACCCCAAGCCAUGCUAGACCCAGCCCCGUCACAAUCCAGGGGGACACUGGCAGUUUCCUACCCAAAAAGAAUUCCCCUAAAUCACCUUCCAAGCUGCCUACCCCAUUUUUGUUAGUGUUAUUAAAAUGGACAUUGAGACUUCCCUAGUAAUCCAGGGGUUAAAACUGCGUGCUUCCAAUGCGUGGGAUGCAGGUUUGAUCUCUGGUUGGGGAACUAAAAUCCCACGUGUCAUUUGGCCCAGCCGGGGGAAAAAAGAAAAAAAUGGACAUUGUUUAGACAUCUUGCUGUGUGAAGCCAGACUCUCUCUUCCAGACGUAGAGGAUAAAUUAUGCUUGGUCUAUGCCAGCCUUGGUCAUCCUGUUCCUCCUUGCCAGUGAGAGUCCAGGAAUGAGCAUGUGACUCAGCUCUGGUCAAUGAGAUGUAAGAAGUCUGCCAAGAUUUUCUGAGGUUGCUGACUAAAAAAAGAACACUGUGGAGAAAUGCCCUCUUUGCCAUCUUUCCUGCUCUGUGUGAAGACGUGAGACCUGGAGCAUCAGCAGCCACCUUGUGACCUAGAAGACAAACCUAAGGCCAAAAUGCCAACGCUAAAGAUGGCAGAGUAGACCAAAAGAACACGUGUUGCUCUCACGCAGCCAUCAUGAGAUUGCCGAGCCAAACCUGGAACUGCCCUCUGCAGAUUCUUUAUUGGUGAAAUAAUUAAACGUUUCUAUGACUUAAGCCAUUGUUAGUGGGGUUUCCUGCACUUGCAGCCGAAAGCAGCCUAGACGGUACAACAGUCAGCGAGUCCCUCUCCAGUCACCCUGGCCAGGCUUGAGGUGCCCUUACCCAGCAGCCAGACCACACACACAUGCCCUUCUUGAGUAUCCCAGGCACCUGCCCAUCCCCACCUGGAAAAGAAACUCCAGCCUGCUUUGCCUGUAGACUGUGGGAUGGCCACGAACCAACCUAGGUCCAUGGACUCCAACUCAUUCUGUGCCCUCUGUUCACCAGUCAGCUGUCUCUUAGACAAGCCACAACCUCUCUGG